rnacentral:rRNA from 1 species
AGUCAGAGGCGAUGAAGGACGUACUAACUUGCGAUAAGCGCAGAUAAGGCAGUAAGAGCCGUUUGAGUCUGCGAUUUCCGAAUGGGGAAACCCAACUGCAUAAGCAGUUACUGUUAACUGAAUACAUAGGUUAACAGAGCAAACCGGGGGAACUGAAACAUCUAAGUACCCCGAGGAGAAGAAAUCAACCGAGAUUCCGGUAGUAGCGGCGAGCGAACCUGGAUUAGCCCUUAAGCACUCGGUGAAGUAGGUGAACAAGCUGGAAAGCUUGGCGAUACAGGGUGAUAGCCCCGUAACCGACGCUUCAUCGAGCGUGAAAUCGAGUAGGGCGGGACACGUGAUAUCCUGUCUGAAUAUGGGGGGACCAUCCUCCAAGGCUAAAUACUCCUGACUGACCGAUAGUGAACCAGUACCGUGAGGGAAAGGCGAAAAGAACCCCUGUGAGGGGAGUGAAAUAGAACCUGAAACCGUGUACGUACAAGCAGUAGGAGCACCUUCGUGGUGUGACUGCGUACCUUUUGUAUAAUGGGUCAGCGACUUAUAUUCAGUGGCAAUGUUAACCGUAUAGGGGAGCCGUAGCGAAAGCGAGUCUUAACUGGGCGGCUCAGUCUCUGGAUAUAGACCCGAAACCCGGGUGAUCUAGCCAUGGGCAGGUUGAAGGUUGAGUAACAUCAACUGGAGGACCGAACCGACUAAUGUUGAAAAAUUAGCGGAUGACUUGUGGCUAGGGGUGAAAGGCCAAUCAAACUCGGAGAUAGCUGGUUCUCCCCGAAAGCUAUUUAGGUAGCGCCUCGGACGAAUACUACUGGGGGUAGAGCACUGUUAAGGCUAGGGGGUCAUCCCGACUUACCAACCCUUUGCAAACUCCGAAUACCAGUAAGUACUAUCCGGGAGACACACGGCGGGUGCUAACGUCCGUCGUGGAGAGGGAAACAACCCAGACCGCCAGCUAAGGUCCCAAAGUAUUGCUAAGUGGGAAACGAUGUGGGAAGGCUCAGACAGCUAGGAUGUUGGCUUAGAAGCAGCCAUCAUUUAAAGAAAGCGUAAUAGCUCACUAGUCGAGUCGGCCUGCGCGGAAGAUGUAACGGGGCUAAGCAAUACACCGAAGCUGCGGCAAUAUCUUUUAGAUAUUGGGUAGGGGAGCGUUCUGUAAGCCGUUGAAGGUGAAUCGUAAGGUUUGCUGGAGGUAUCAGAAGUGCGAAUGCUGACAUGAGUAACGACAAAGGGGGUGAAAAACCUCCUCGCCGGAAGACCAAGGGUUCCUGUCCAACGUUAAUCGGGGCAGGGUGAGUCGACCCCUAAGGUGAGGCCGAAAGGCGUAAUCGAUGGGAAACGGGUUAAUAUUCCCGUACUUCUGACUAUUGCGAUGGGGGGACGGAGAAGGCUAGGUGGGCCAGGCGACGGUUGUCCUGGUUCAAGUGCGUAGGCUUGAGAGUUAGGUAAAUCCGGCUCUCUCUAAGGCUGAGACACGACGUCGAGCUGCUACGGCAGUGAAGUCAUUGAUGCCAUGCUUCCAGGAAAAGCCUCUAAGCUUCAGAUAGUCAGGAAUCGUACCCCAAACCGACACAGGUGGUCGGGUAGAGAAUACCAAGGCGCUUGAGAGAACUCGGGUGAAGGAACUAGGCAAAAUGGUACCGUAACUUCGGGAGAAGGUACGCUCUUGAUGGUGAAGUCCCUCGCGGAUGGAGCUGACGAGAGUCGCAGAUACCAGGUGGCUGCAACUGUUUAUUAAAAACACAGCACUGUGCAAAAUCGCAAGAUGACGUAUACGGUGUGACGCCUGCCCGGUGCCGGAAGGUUAAUUGAUGGGGUUAGCGCAAGCGAAGCUCUUGAUCGAAGCCCCGGUAAACGGCGGCCGUAACUAUAACGGUCCUAAGGUAGCGAAAUUCCUUGUCGGGUAAGUUCCGACCUGCACGAAUGGCGUAAUGAUGGCCACGCUGUCUCCACCCGAGACUCAGUGAAAUUGAAAUCGCUGUGAAGAUGCAGUGUACCCGCGGCUAGACGGAAAGACCCCGUGAACCUUUACUACAGCUUGGCACUGAACAUUGAACCUACAUGUGUAGGAUAGGUGGGAGGCUAUGAAGACGUGACGCCAGUUGCGUUGGAGCCGUCCUUGAAAUACCACCCUUGUAUGUUUGAUGUUCUAACUUAGACCCAUUAUCUGGGUUGAGGACAGUGCCUGGUGGGUAGUUUGACUGGGGCGGUCUCCUCCCAAAGAGUAACGGAGGAGCACGAAGGUGGGCUAAUCACGGUUGGACAUCGUGAGGUUAGUGCAAUGGCAUAAGCCCGCUUAACUGCGAGAAUGACGGUUCGAGCAGGUGCGAAAGCAGGUCAUAGUGAUCCGGUGGUUCUGUAUGGAAGGGCCAUCGCUCAACGGAUAAAAGGUACUCCGGGGAUAACAGGCUGAUACCGCCCAAGAGUUCAUAUCGACGGCGGUGUUUGGCACCUCGAUGUCGGCUCAUCACAUCCUGGGGCUGAAGUCGGUCCCAAGGGUAUGGCUGUUCGCCAUUUAAAGUGGUACGCGAGCUGGGUUUAGAACGUCGUGAGACAGUUCGGUCCCUAUCUGCCGUGGGCGUUGGAAGAUUGAAGGGGGCUGCUCCUAGUACGAGAGGACCGGAGUGGACGAACCUCUGGUGUUCGGGUUGUGUCGCCAGACGCAUUGCCCGGUAGCUAAGUUCGGAAUUGAUAAGCGCUGAAAGCAUCUAAGCGCGAAGCGAGCCCUGAGAUGAGUCUUCCCUGACAGUUUAACUGUUCUAAAGGGUUGUUCGAGACUAGAACGUUGAUAGGCAGGGUGUGUAAGCGUUGUGAGGCGUUGAGCUAACCUGUACUAAUUGCCCGUGAGGCUUAACCAU